UCCCUCUCUCUCGCCUUUUAAUCAUGCCCCUCUGUCUGUGUGUGAGUGCAGGCAGGCUGACAAUGAUUUCCUCAGUGAUUACGUACAGAGCGAGUCCCUGCGGGUUAGGGGCCCCCUCUGGAGCCAUCCUGAUGGCUUUGGGGGCCUUGCUUCCAUUUUCCAUUAUUAUGUGGACUACCGGAGCGACAGCGCAGUCCAAGACCUUGCAGCUGUUUGCUUUUAGGAUGUCUCGCCGCAAGCAAGCUAAACCAAGAUCACUCAAAGAAACUCAGAUUCUAGAAACAACCAGUUGUAUGAAGCCUUGGGGUUGGCGGAGGAGGAAAAGAGUAGAAGAAAAUGAAACAGAGGACCAGCAGGCAGGUGUGGGACACACAGCCGCACAGACUGACCCUAACUGUAAACUAGAAGACAAGGCAGAAGAUGGAGAAGUGCUAGACUGUAAGAAGAGGCCGGAUGAAGGGGAGGAGUUAGAAGAAGAAGCUGUGCACAGCUGUGACAGCUGCCUCCAGGUGUUUGAGUCACUGAGUGAUAUCACAGAACACAAGAUUAAUCAAUGUCAACUGACAGAUGGAGUGGAUGUUGAGGAUGACCCCACUUGCUCAUGGCCAGCAUCAUCGCCUUCUAGCAAGGACCAGACUUCCCCGAGCCAUGGAGAAGGUUGUGAUUUUGGUGAAGAGGAAGGAGGCCCAGGGUUGCCCUAUCCAUGCCAGUUUUGUGACAAAUCGUUCAGCCGCCUCAGCUACUUAAAGCACCACGAGCAAAGCCACAGUGACAAGCUCCCUUUCAAAUGCACGUACUGCAGUCGUCUCUUCAAACACAAACGGAGCAGGGACCGCCACAUAAAGCUUCAUACGGGAGACAAGAAGUAUCACUGCAGUGAGUGUGAUGCAGCGUUCUCAAGGAGUGAUCAUCUUAAAAUUCACUUAAAGACUCAUACGUCCAACAAGCCAUAUAAGUGUGCCAUUUGUAGGCGUGGAUUCCUGUCAUCUAGUUCACUGCAUGGUCACAUGCAGGUUCAUGAGAGGAACAAAGAUGGCUCUCAGUCCGCCUCCCGGAUGGAGGACUGGAAAAUGAAGGACACUCAGAAAUGUAGUCAGUGCGAAGAAGGCUUUGAUUUUCCUGAAGAUCUUCAGAAGCACAUUGCAGAAUGUCACCCCGAGUGUUCCCCUAAUGAAGACCGAUCUGCUCUUCAGUGUGUUUACUGUCAUGAACUCUUUGUAGAGGAAACAUCUCUGGUAAAUCACAUGGAGCAGGCUCAUAAUGGUGAGAAGAAGAAUUCAUGCAGCAUUUGCUCUGAGAACUUUCAUACUGUGGAGGAGCUGUACAGCCACAUGGACAGUCAUCAGCAGCCAGAGUCGUGCAAUCACAGCAACAGCCCGUCUUUGGUAACUGUGGGCUACACCUCAGUCUCUAGCACCACUCCAGAUUCUAAUCUCUCGGUGGAUAGUUCAACAAUGGUGGAAACAGCUCCUCCUAUACCAAAAGGUCGUGGAAGGAAGCGGGCAGCUCAGCAAGUGCCAGAUAUCACCGGUCCUUCAAGUAAACAGGCAAAAGUUACCUACAGCUGCAUUUAUUGCAACAAACAGUUGUUUUCCAGCCUUGCAGUUUUGCAGAUACACCUGAAAACUAUGCAUUUAGAUAAACCUGAACAAGCCCAUAUCUGUCAGUAUUGUUUGGAGGUAUUGCCAUCUCUCUACAAUCUGAAUGAACAUCUUAAGCAAGUCCAUGAAGCUCCAGACCCAGCACUGAUUGUUUCUACCAUGCCUGCCAUGGUAUACCAGUGCAACUUCUGCUCUGAAGUGUUCAAUGACCUCAACACCCUUCAGGAACACAUCCGAUGUUCUCAUGGAUUUGCCAACCCUGCUGCUAAGGACAGUAAUGCAUUCUUUUGUCCCCAUUGCUACAUGGGAUUUCUUACAGAUUCUUCUCUGGAAGAGCAUAUUAGACAAGUCCAUUGUGAUCUUAGCAGUUCCCGUUUUGGUUCCCCUGUGCUUGGAACCCCAAAAGAUCCAGUGGUGGAAGUGUAUUCUUGUUCUUACUGUACAAAUUCUCCAAUAUUUAAUAGUGUUCUUAAACUGAACAAGCAUAUCAAGGAGAACCAUAAGAACAUUCCUUUGGCACUGAAUUACAUCCACAAUGGAAAAAAAUCCAGAGCCAUGAGUCCAUUAUCUCCUGUAACCAUUGAGCAGACCUCUUUAAAGAUGAUGCAGGCAGUUGGAGGUGCUCCUCCUCGUCCUGCAGGUGAAUAUAUUUGUAAUCAGUGUGGUGCUAAGUAUACUUCCUUGGAUGGUUUUCAGACUCAUUUGAAAACACAUCUUGACACUGUCCUACCAAAACUGACCUGCCCUCAGUGCAACAAGGAAUUUCCAAAUCAGGAGUCUCUGCUGAAGCAUGUUACCAUUCAUUUCAUGAUCACCUCAACCUACUACAUCUGUGAAAGCUGUGACAAGCAGUUCACUUCUGUGGAUGACUUGCAGAAACACCUACUGGACAUGCAUACAUUUGUGUUCUUCCGCUGCACUUUGUGCCAAGAGGUUUUUGACUCCAAAGUCUCCAUUCAGCUACACUUGGCUGUGAAGCACAGUAAUGAAAAGAAGGUAUACAGAUGUACAUCUUGCAACUGGGAUUUCCGCAAUGAGACUGACCUACAGCUUCAUGUUAAACACAACCACCUGGAGAACCAAGGCAAAGUACACAAGUGCAUCUUCUGUGGUGAGUCCUUUGGUACAGAGGUGGAGCUGCAGUGUCACAUUACUACACACAGCAAGAAGUACAACUGCAAGUUCUGCAGCAAAGCUUUCCAUGCUAUCAUCUUGCUGGAAAAGCACUUAAGGGAAAAACAUUGUGUUUUUGAAACGAAAACUCCGAACUGUGGAACAAAUGGGGCAUCUGAGCAGGUUCAGAAAGAGGAAGUGGAACUCCAGACCUUGUUGACAAAUAGCCAGGAGUCCCAUAACAGCCACGAUGGCAGCGAAGAAGAUGUGGACACAUCUGAGCCUAUGUAUGGCUGUGACAUUUGUGGAGCAGCUUAUACCAUGGAGACUCUCCUGCAAAAUCACCAGCUUCGAGACCACAACAUUCGACCUGGAGAAAGUGCCAUAGUGAAGAAAAAGGCUGAACUCAUAAAAGGAAAUUACAAGUGUAAUGUAUGUUCUCGAACAUUCUUCUCUGAAAAUGGGCUCCGAGAGCACAUGCAGACACACUUGGGACCAGUGAAACAUUAUAUGUGCCCAAUCUGUGGCGAGCGGUUUCCAUCUCUUCUGACUCUUACUGAACAUAAGGUCACACAUAGUAAGAGCCUGGACACUGGAAACUGCAGGAUUUGCAAGAUGCCCCUCCAGAGUGAGGAGGAAUUUUUAGAGCAUUGCCAAAUGCACCCUGACUUGAGGAACUCCUUGACAGGGUUCCGCUGUGUGGUGUGCAUGCAGACAGUGACCUCUACGCUGGAACUGAAAAUCCACGGCACGUUCCACAUGCAGAAAACUGGAAAUGGUUCUGCUGUGCAGUCCACAGGGCGUGCACAGCAUCUCCAGAAACUGUACAAGUGUGCUUCUUGCCUGAAGGAAUUCCGCUCAAAACAGGAUUUAGUGAAACUUGACAUCAAUGGUCUGCCAUAUGGUCUGUGUGCUAGCUGUGUUAAUCUCAGUAAAAGUGGUAGUCCAAGUGUCAACAUCCCUUCAAGCAGUAACAGACAAGGCAUGGGCCAAAAUGAGAACUUGAGUUCCAUUGAGAACAAAAGCAAGGCAGGGGGACUGAAGACUCGGUGUUCUAGUUGCAAUGUUAAAUUUGAAUCAGAAAGUGAACUCCAAAACCAUAUUCAGUCAAUCCACAGAGAGCUUGUUCCAGACAGCAACAGUACACAACUGAAAACACCACAAGUAUCUCCAAUGCCCAGAAUCAGCCCCUCCCAAACUGAAGAGGUAACCCUUUUUUCUUUGCUCUUGACACCUUCCAUCCUUUUGGGAAAAAUCCCCCUUUUUUCAAGCUGUCUUGUCACUUGUCAUGAAAUGCUUAGGCUGAACCAUGUUACAUUUCCAUCCAUAGCCAUUAGCUAGUAAUUACUUGCCUCUUGAUAUGCCUUACGUCUUGGAUUGAAUUGUGCGGAAUAGGACUAAUUCCAGUCUCCCUAGGAUAUUGUCUUCUGUAUCACUGAGGAGACCUAUCUUCAUGCCAGCACAACUGAGAUCUGGAAUCUUAUCCUAGCUCCCUUAUGUGUUGGAAUCCCCAGCUAGGAGUUGUGCUUACGGCAGAGCGCAUUAAUGACAGAAGAGUAGAAUAUAGUGAGCCAAAAUGCUGGCAUAAGGGGUGGAUUUUGAAAAAAUAUUUGUGAGCAACAAGUUGAGGGUGUUUUUUGUAAAUUGUGUUGUAGACAUUAAUUUUCCCCUCUUAUAGCACAUUUUGAUUAAGUAGAAGUACAACACUAGCCUAAGGUAAAUUGGGAAAUCAGUCCUUUGGAUGCAAUUCCUUGUUGUGUUUUUCUUUCCGUUCAUGGUGAACAACAUUUUGAUGUCACUGAAACACCUAGUGCCUGGUGAUUGAAAUCCCAUUCAUGCAGGAUAACUUAGAAAGUAAAUAUCAAACUCUUGAAAGAUCUUAUCUACUUCCUUCAUCACCAGUGACCAAGUAAUAAUAUGGGAAGUUACGGGGGUCAUGUACUGAGGGAAGGGAAUCUUUUUUAUCUUCAGAAACAUCAACAGAAUGACUCAGGGUUAAUAUUUUAGGUAUGCUAUCUUGCAUAAUGACCCCUUAUAGUUCAGGAAACCUAAAAACACAGCACAAACAGAUCUUAAGAAAUAAUAACUUUGGUUUCAAGAAAGCUUUUGGCUUGUAAUGGUACAAGCAUAAUGCAACCCAUUGCUGUGAAUGUGCAUGGAUACCCUGUGGCUAGGGAGCUGCUGCUCUUCCAUCACCUUCCUCACUCCCUGUUUGUGAGCCCAUCUGUUGGGUAAGAAAUCUCUCAGCAUGUCAUCCAACAGUGUUGUGCAAACUGGAAGGCAGGAGGGAGGCAGAGUGAGGAAGGGAGCUACAUAAGGAUAUGUGGGCCCAGAGGUAAGUAUUUCUGGAGGUACCAAGAACAAAGCUCAAGAUAGGCUGGGAGAGGUCACUGAAGUAGCACAGGGCCUGGAGUGCCACAAAGAGGGAAGUGGAGCUGGGAGACGAGGGUGAGGUAACAGGCAGGAUGCAUCUGCCAGGGAAGAGCCCAAUGCUUUCCUGACUUCUGCAUCUCCAGUUUGCACAUUGCGGGGGGGGGGGGGGGGGGGUGUACACCUGGGUAAUGGAAUGUGGUGUGCAGUGUAUGGAAGGAGCAGUUUGUUAGACUGAGAACCGCAGGUCUAAGGAAAACCUUUUCAAAGAAGAGGGGAAAGGAAUGGCUCCCUUUAGGUGUGGUUCACACCAUUGAUGGUCCUGUAGUAUUGCUGCUAAAUCAGAACCACAGGAUUACCAGCUAUAUGCUUUUGAUAGAUUCAGAGUCAUCUUGGUUUCUGUUUCUGGUCAUCUUUCCCCAAGUGACUACAUGAAAUCUCUCUUCCCAGUCAUGUUGGCAGCACAACCAGAAUCAUGUGUAUUAAGACAGUUACCAUGAUAAGAUGUUACCAACUUGUCUUUCUCGAGCUUGUAAACUAGACAAAAAGAGAAUUGGGGGUCCUUUGCGGUGAUACAAGGUCAGUUACCUCCAGUGUCAUCAGUGAAUCUUCUUGUACUUGGAUCAGGUAUAAUCCGAGUUCUUAUGUCAUCUUCUGAUUGGCAUCACGUUCCUCUUCCUAUUCCUUUUGAUUUUUCUCUUAGAAAUGUAUCUAAGAUGAAAAAGCCUUUUAAACUACAGCAAGAUUUAUGAAUAGCAUUUGCCUGCUUCGAAAUCAUUUGCUCCCCAACCCCAUUCCGAGCAUGUAAACUGAUUUUUCAGUGUCUGUGUUUCUAGUCUCUACAUAAGUAACAUAGACUUUCAGAUUAUUUUCUCAUGCGAAGCACAAAGCUAUCAAGUUCCUGACAGAGCAUUAUUACUUCUGGAAACCAUAGAUGCAUGUUUGUAAACUCCUUAGAGAUAAUUAAUUUUUCUAACAGAUAUUACUGGUUUAAAAUUCUAGUGAUGCAAGCAUUACAGCAAUGAGAAUCAAAAUUGGAAGUAGCAAUACACAAAUGUUUAACAGUAUAGUUUGGAAGUUUGGGCUGAGGGAAGUGAAAACAUAAGCAUAUAAUACAAACAGUAAAAACAAAUUGGGUUGCUAAAAUUUGUUAUUAGUGAGUGGUUUUGCUACUCCACUGGAAGGAUGUUUUUUGAAUUGAAUGGGAUGUUGAAGAUGGCUACUUAAAUAUGCUGUUUUGGGGUAAUUUUCAUUAAAAAUAAUAAUAUUAAGGAGUGAAGGUUUCAUUUGCAUUGUUGAGAGUCACAUGGUUUGAGAUUACAACCUUUAUACAAGGAACAUUUGAUUCCCAAGGCAAGAAAAAUAUGGAGAGUAGUUGUCAAACCAUUAAUAGUGCUGAAUACCCUUUGUUACUGAGUAAUAGAUUACUAUGGUAAGAGUACUAGAAAAAAACAUUUUAAGAUAAAGGAUAACACUGAAAACUGUCAAUUCUGGAUUCUUUGCCAAGUAUUCUUAUGGUUGAACUAGAAAACUUCUCUUUUUAGCCUGUACUCAGUAACAUGAUAGGGUGCAAUUACCUUAACAUGGUAUAAUGUCAUCAGCUGAGCUAUCACCUGCUGAACUCACCCUGCUUGCUAAGUGAAAGGCAUUGACCUGAAUCAUCUUCACUGAAAGUUAUCUUUCAGUUGGGAUGGGAAAUGAUGGGCACUUCUAAUCAUCAGUUACAGGAACUCAAGGAACAGGUCAGAACCUAAGCCCAUCAUACUGCUGAAUCUAGUACCCGUAAACUAUCAAACAGACUUAAACAAGCAGAUUGUGGAUAGCUAGCUAUUGAAAGAGCUCUAAAAUUGGUAAAUCUCUGAGUUAUUCUUUGAGCCUAAUGAGAUGCUGAAUUCAGGUUGUAGAUUUCUUAUAAAGAUCCUGAAUCAUUGCAAACACACUGUUAAGCUAGGAUAAUAAUCUUCUUGGUGAUAGUUAAUAUUUAAAAGUGGAGAACAAGAUCUGAUAUGGUAAUGUAUUGGGAACUAGACAUCCAUCCUUUUUCUGUCACUCAUUUGCAUUGUUGACUCGGACAAAUCUACUUGAACACCUCUGUUUCAUUUUCCUUAUUCAGAAAAUAAGAUUGAUAGUUGCUGAGAAGUGUAUUGCCAUGCUUAAUUGCAGUGCAUUUUUUGUAAAGCACUUGGAAGAUGAAAAGCAGUGUUCAAGAAAAAGCAUGUGGCCUUGCUUUUCUUGUUCCUCUUUAAUCUGCUGUCAUGCACCUAACGAGAGAACUCAGCAGAAGAUGUGCCCUCACUUCUUAAGCUUCAGGACUUCUGUACAUGCAGAAUCAUACCAGUGUAACUGUACAAUAAUAGUUAUAUUGUUAACUGCUUAGCCGGCAGGCGAGGAGAAAAUGGACUCCAGCUUAUACCAACAGUUUACUGGUAAAAAUUAUCUUACACUAGUGUAUCCAUACGGUCCAAAGGGACACAGUUUAGUGGUACUUGGGAGUGUUAGGUUUAUGGUUGGACUCAAUGUUCUUAAAGGUCUUUUUUAACCUAAAUGAUUCUGUUCUAUUCUAUUCUAUGUGCAACUGCACUCAUUUUGGGGUCCUGUUGGUAACUUCUAGAGUAGGUGCUCAGCAAACUUAAUUGCCUCUGUAAGUAGCUUAAGUUAUGUAUCACUUUGUUCUAUGAAUGCGAAGCUCAUGUGAAUACUGUAUUACCUGUGGCAAUGCAGACAGUCCUUCAUUAAUAAUACAAGAAUACUGGGUUUUCUGGUCCUGAGAAGAGAAGCAGCAGUGCAAGUACACUGCCAAAUUACUGCAGGAAUAAAGAUGCUUAUUUAGGUGUUACAAAGGACUUGCAGAAACAUACUGUAGCAGAGAGUAUCAAAAGUUCUGGACAAAGGAAAGAACUAGCAACCGUCACACCAGCUGAAGAACAGAAUAAGUGUGAGCCUGGGGCUGCUCUUCUGUCCUAUUGUGGUUGUGCAGAGCUGUAUGCCAGGAUGGGCAUGUCACAGCAGGGUAUGCUGGGCGCAUCACUGCACCGUUCUGGAAGGAGCUGUGAAAGUGCAGGCUGCCAAUGAGCUUGUGGAGACGGGGUCACAAAAUUCAGAUGCUGCAGAGCUGGUGGCUCCUUGAAGCUCAACUUACACGACCUCAGAUGAAUCCAGAAAUGGUAUCAUCCUGGGAGAAAGAAUGGAGCUCAGAGACUUCAGAUGGGGAAUUUGGAGAGGUACCUUCUUCACACCUGAGAGGAAGAAAGGAUAAGUUCUGCAACGUUUUCAAGAACACCAAACCAAGUUUUCCAUGCAGCAAUGCAGUGGGGGGUGUGGGGGAUGUGUGGGGGGAAUGCCUGCUUGAAGAAAGGCAGAAGAAUUGAAGAGGGACACAGGAAUGUGGAUGAAGACCUUAAGCAUCUCUAGGGAGGACAAAUGUAGAUUCAGCAAAGCUUUAUGAGACAAAACAUCCUGAGAUGUCAACAGGUCAGCUGUGCAGCCCACUGUCCUUAUGGGGCUUUCCCUGUACAUGUACCUGCUGGCCAAGCGACCAGGGUAGCAUGCCACAAUUUCCCUUCUGCACAGCCCUAGUGGAAAAUCAGAAUAGUGAUGAGUAUUUGUAUUCUGACAUCAGAACAGGGUAGAAAACACAAGAAAUUUCUCCUGUUUUUCUAGCCUGAUUAUCUUUAGGAACAAGACAAGGGAAAUCACGGCAUGUCUUUUUGUCUGCUGGUUCACAUACCUCUAGAGGGUUCUCUCUCUUCCCCCUCUUACUCCUGUACUACACUUGGCCAGUUUCAAGAAAAACUUCAUAGAUAGAUAGGAAUCUCAAAGCCUAUGAAGUUUUUACGACAUUUGGGAAGAGAGAUGACCUAGCAGGUGAUAGAAUCCAGACAGGAAAGAGGCCUUUUAGAGAUCCAAACCAGGAAGAUGGCUUUAACUGAAGUUCAUACCUGGUUGUUAUGCAAAAGUCAAUCAGUCACAAGAAAUUAAGCUGUAAGAAACUAUGAUCUGCUCUUUGUGGUGCUCACAAACCAACUUCUUAAGUGACUGUACAUGCUUUGAGAAGUGUUUUUUACCACUGCUCAAUAAAGUUUUUAUAUGUAAUGUCUGUA